CUAACUGCAGUCCAGGUUCCGGAGGCAACAGACGGACCGGUUUCUGCCUGGGCACAAAGGCAGCUUCUCACAGAUGGGAGAAUGAAAACGGCUAGGCCAAUGCUUUUUAAUGCAAAACUCUCAGCUGAGAGAAUAGCCAUUCAGAAGUGCCACAGAUGCUGUGCAGAAGAAGCGGCUAUGAGGUGCCUGGACUGUGUUCCACAUGGAGUUCCUCUGUGCAACCUGUGACAUGGAGGCCCACAAGAGGAAUAUCUUCCAUGACAGAGAGGCUGUGUUCAAUGGAUUUCUGGAGCCCAUCCCCCGACAACUGCUGUGGUGGUGGAUGAAAAUGGCCAGCCUCAGUUUUGUGAACAAAUAUGUCAACUGCCUGUUCCUACUCCAAGGUCAAUCUGUGAAUGCUCUGAUGACGUCACAGUGACUCCUUGGAAGCAUAUUUCUGUGGUCACCAUCAACGGACGAUACAAUGUCUGCUUGCAUCGGAAAUCCUGUCCAUCCUGCUCUGCAGAAUGGACUCCUGAGGUUAAAGACCUGCUUUUGUAUCGGUACUGGCCAGCUAGCACCAGCUGCCAGACGCUUUACAAAUAUGAUGUGUUCACCUCAUUGGAGCACAUGAAGGUGACAGCACCAGCCGUGUCCAGGCAGGCAUUUCUGAAAAUGUUGGAGCACAGAUCUGUUCAAGCUGGACGGGUAAAUCUGAAUCACACGGAAACAUACAAAAAACAAUAUCAUAUUACUGUAU